UGUGGCACACGUAUACGUACUCAUGUAAACU
rnacentral:piRNA from 1 species